rnacentral:rRNA from 1 species
GGGUUGUGAGGUUAAGCGACUAAGCGUACACGGUGGAUGCCCUGGCAGUCAGAGGCGAUGAAGGACGUGCUAAUCUGCGAUAAGCGUCGGUAAGGUGAUAUGAACCGUUAUAACCGGCGAUUUCCGAAUGGGGAAACCCAGUGUGAUUCGUCACACUAUCAUUAACUGAAUCCAUAGGUUAAUGAGGCGAACCGGGGGAACUGAAACAUCUAAGUACCCCGAGGAAAAGAAAUCAACCGAGAUUCCCCCAGUAGCGGCGAGCGAACGGGGAGCAGCCCAGAGCCUGAAUCAGUGUGUGUGUUAGUGGAAGCGUCUGGAAAGGCGCGCGAUACAGGGUGACAGCCCCGUACACAAAAAUGCACAUGCUGUGAGCUCGAUGAGUAGGGCGGGACACGUGGUAUCCUGUCUGAAUAUGGGGGGACCAUCCUCCAAGGCUAAAUACUCCUGACUGACCGAUAGUGAACCAGUACCGUGAGGGAAAGGCGAAAAGAACCCCGGCGAGGGGAGUGAAAAAGAACCUGAAACCGUGUACGUACAAGCAGUGGGAGCACGCUUAGGCGUGUGACUGCGUACCUUUUGUAUAAUGGGUCAGCGACUUAUAUUCUGUAGCAAGGUUAACCGAAUAGGGGAGCCGAAGGGAAACCGAGUCUUAACUGGGCGUUAAGUUGCAGGGUAUAGACCCGAAACCCGGUGAUCUAGCCAUGGGCAGGUUGAAGGUUGGGUAACACUAACUGGAGGACCGAACCGACUAAUGUUGAAAAAUUAGCGGAUGACUUGUGGCUGGGGGUGAAAGGCCAAUCAAACCGGGAGAUAGCUGGUUCUCCCCGAAAGCUAUUUAGGUAGCGCCUCGUGAAUUCAUCUCCGGGGGUAGAGCACUGUUUCGGCAAGGGGGUCAUCCCGACUUACCAACCCGAUGCAAACUGCGAAUACCGGAGAAUGUUAUCACGGGAGACACACGGCGGGUGCUAACGUCCGUCGUGAAGAGGGAAACAACCCAGACCGCCAGCUAAGGUCCCAAAGUCAUGGUUAAGUGGGAAACGAUGUGGGAAGGCCCAGACAGCCAGGAUGUUGGCUUAGAAGCAGCCAUCAUUUAAAGAAAGCGUAAUAGCUCACUGGUCGAGUCGGCCUGCGCGGAAGAUGUAACGGGGCUAAACCAUGCACCGAAGCUGCGGCAGCGACGCUUAUGCGUUGUUGGGUAGGGGAGCGUUCUGUAAGCCUGUGAAGGUGUACUGUGAGGUAUGCUGGAGGUAUCAGAAGUGCGAAUGCUGACAUAAGUAACGAUAAAGCGGGUGAAAAGCCCGCUCGCCGGAAGACCAAGGGUUCCUGUCCAACGUUAAUCGGGGCAGGGUGAGUCGACCCCUAAGGCGAGGCCGAAAGGCGUAGUCGAUGGGAAACAGGUUAAUAUUCCUGUACUUGGUGUUACUGCGAAGGGGGGACGGAGAAGGCUAUGUUGGCCGGGCGACGGUUGUCCCGGUUUAAGCGUGUAGGCUGGUUUUCCAGGCAAAUCCGGAAAAUCAAGGCUGAGGCGUGAUGACGAGGCACUACGGUGCUGAAGCAACAAAUGCCCUGCUUCCAGGAAAAGCCUCUAAGCAUCAGGUAACAUCAAAUCGUACCCCAAACCGACACAGGUGGUCAGGUAGAGAAUACCAAGGCGCUUGAGAGAACUCGGGUGAAGGAACUAGGCAAAAUGGUGCCGUAACUUCGGGAGAAGGCACGCUGAUAUGUAGGUGAAGUCCCUCGCGGAUGGAGCUGAAAUCAGUCGAAGAUACCAGCUGGCUGCAACUGUUUAUUAAAAACACAGCACUGUGCAAACACGAAAGUGGACGUAUACGGUGUGACGCCUGCCCGGUGCCGGAAGGUUAAUUGAUGGGGUUAGCGCAAGCGAAGCUCUUGAUCGAAGCCCCGGUAAACGGCGGCCGUAACUAUAACGGUCCUAAGGUAGCGAAAUUCCUUGUCGGGUAAGUUCCGACCUGCACGAAUGGCGUAAUGAUGGCCAGGCUGUCUCCACCCGAGACUCAGUGAAAUUGAACUCGCUGUGAAGAUGCAGUGUACCCGCGGCAAGACGGAAAGACCCCGUGAACCUUUACUAUAGCUUGACACUGAACAUUGAGCCUUGAUGUGUAGGAUAGGUGGGAGGCUUUGAAGUGUGGACGCCAGUCUGCAUGGAGCCGGCCUUGAAAUACCACCCUUUAAUGUUUGAUGUUCUAACGUUGACCCGUAAUCCGGGUUGCGGACAGUGUCUGGUGGGUAGUUUGACUGGGGCGGUCUCCUCCUAAAGAGUAACGGAGGAGCACGAAGGUUGGCUAAUCCUGGUCGGACAUCAGGAGGUUAGUGCAAUGGCAUAAGCCAGCUUGACUGCGAGCGUGACGGCGCGAGCAGGUGCGAAAGCAGGUCAUAGUGAUCCGGUGGUUCUGAAUGGAAGGGCCAUCGCUCAACGGAUAAAAGGUACUCCGGGGAUAACAGGCUGAUACCGCCCAAGAGUUCAUAUCGACGGCGGUGUUUGGCACCUCGAUGUCGGCUCAUCACAUCCUGGGGCUGAAGUAGGUCCCAAGGGUAUGGCUGUUCGCCAUUUAAAGUGGUACGCGAGCUGGGUUUAGAACGUCGUGAGACAGUUCGGUCCCUAUCUGCCGUGGGCGCUGGAGAACUGAGGGGGGCUGCUCCUAGUACGAGAGGACCGGAGUGGACGCAUCACUGGUGUUCGGGUUGUCAUGCCAAUGGCACUGCCCGGUAGCUAAAUGCGGAAGAGAUAAGUGCUGAAAGCAUCUAAGCACGAAACUUGCCCCGAGAUGAGUUCUCCCUGACUCCUUGAGAGUCCUGAAGGAACGUUGAAGACGACGACGUUGAUAGGCCGGGUGUGUAAGCGCAGCGAUGCGUUGAGCUAACCGGUACUAAUGAACCGUGAGGCUUAACCUUACAACGCCGAAG